GGAGAGGUGUCUGAGUGGUUUAAAGUACCGCUCUCGAAAAGCGGAGUACCGCAAGGUACCGUGAGUUCGAAUCUCACCCUCUCCG
rnacentral:tRNA from 1 species